AUGGGAUGCAGGAUUCAUGCUCGGACAUGGGCAUGCCCUCUGUUCUUGAUAUGGCCUAGUAGAUAUCAAGUUCUUGGUGUUCAGGUCUUGUGGCUUGAUAGCCUACCCCUGAGCCUAGUUGGAUUCGUUUCAGGUGCUGCGUUGAUUAGGUCCUGGAUGGUGGAAGGGUUGGGUGUUUACCUGUGUCUGUAUCUAGCGACAGAUCCAGGAGAAGUUUUCUGUCGGAUUAGUUUUACAGUGAAUUUUCAGCUUCACAUGACCGAGUUUAAGAUAGAGAAAUUUGGUCAAAGCUUUAAUCCUAGAGGAAUGUCCACCGUACCAUGUUCUUCAGUUUUUAUCUUCUUCUUGCCUACCAUUAAGGAAAAAAUGUUUUUUUAA
rnacentral:rRNA from 1 species